UCCUCCUUUCAUGCCUUCCCUCUCCACUUUUCUUGUACUCUCAGUUCACCAGUUUUCUUUCUUGGAAAGAUGAGUGAUUUCAGCCCUCCAGUGCCAUGGAAAUGAUAAAUCUCCUUAUCCGACUUGGGAAUUCUGUUUCUCAUCAUUCUGCAACAGGAUUUGGAGCUCUGUCCGAACGUCCUCCUCCAGGUCCUGCCCCACCCCCCUGAGCAUGCCACUUUCUUCCAGGUAUCCUGUAUCCUGCUCAAAGAUGCAAGUUAGAAGAUUCCCUGAGGACACUGAGGAUUUUUGUCUCUCAAUCAUGGUGGCCCAGGCUAGAGAGCAUCACCAUGCUUCAUGACCAGGUCCCAGAAGCCAACAAGCUGGGACAUUUGAGUGGGAACACCAGAAAGAGACAGGACAAAAGUGUUUCCAGGGCCAGCGCACAGGGAGGAGUCUCAGGUGACAGUUCCGAGACACAGAGUUUCCAAUGUGAAAGGAAGGCGAGAAAGUCUGGAGAUGAAUGGUGGCGACAAU